CCAUGUUUACACGUUUCCUUCUAAUAUAAUAUGCAUACAAGAAGAGCGGCAGGACGUUAUUUUUAUUACAUUAUAGUUACAAUAAAAGAAUUUUAACAAUAAAAUUGUUAUUGUUACAUUAUUAAAUUGUUAUUCUUUCGAAUUUCUUCAUUCAUGAUUUGGAUUUAUUCCACUGCUGAGAAGGGGCAAGGGGCUCCAAUAACAGCAAAACAGUUAAAUGAUUUCAUUAAUAACAGUUAGGCAUGGACCAUUUAACUUGUAGGGGGACAUGGUUUUUUUUCUGGUCAGAAUAUUUUCUAUUUUUUGGAAGUAGCACAACAAAUUAUUUUUUUUGCAAAUUGCAAAUUGAAAAUUUCAGGACAGGUAGACCUUGACCUAAUAAAUAUUUUAACUUCUAGUCUUAUUUGCUCUAAAUGCUGGAGUUUUUUAGAUAUAAGCCAAAAACUGCAUUUUAC
rnacentral:lncRNA from 1 species